GAUGAAGAACGUAGCGAAAUGCGAUACGUAAUGUGAAUUGCAGAAUUCAGUGAAUCAUCGAAUCUUUGAACGCAUAUUGCGCUCUCUGGUAUUCCGGAGAGCAUGCUUGUUUGAGUAUCAGUAAACACCUCAACUCCCCUUUCUUUUUUUUGAAAUGGGAGCUGGACUUGAGUGAUCCCAACGCUUUUCUCACCGAAAAGUGGCGGGUUACUUGAAAUGCAGGUGCAGCUGGACUUUUCUCUGAGCUAAAAGCAUAUCUAUUUAGUCUGCCUAAAAAACAGAUUAUUACCUUUGCUGCAGCUAACAUAAAGGAGAUUAGUUCUUGUGCUGACUGAUGCAGGAUUCACAGAGACAGCUUCGGCUGGCCUUUGUAAACUCGAUCUCAAAUCAAGUAAGACUACCCGCUGAACUUAAGCAUAUCAAUAAGCGGAGGA
rnacentral:misc_RNA from 1 species